GUUAAGGGAUUCCCUGCUCUGGUGCGCUUGUCUAUGUUUGGGGAAAUUUCUGCCGAACAUAGGUGAACGCACCAGAGCAGGUAAUCCCUCUAAU